GACGAACGCUGGCGGCGUGCUUAACACAUGCAAGUCGAACGGCAGCACGGGUGCUUGCACCUGGUGGCGAGUGGCGAACGGGUGAGUAAUAUAUCGGAACGUACCUUAUUGUGGGGGAUAACGCAGCGAACGCUGUGCUAAUACCGCAUAAUCGCUCAGGGGCAAAGCGGGGGACCGUAAGGCCUCGCGCAAUUAGAGUGGCGGAUACCUGAUUAGCUAGUUGGUGAGGUAAAGGCUCACCAAGGCAACGAUCAGUAGCUGGUCUGAGAGGACGAUCAGCCACACUGGGACUGAGACACGGCCCAGACUCCUACGGGAGGCAGCAGUGGGGAAUGUUGGACAAUGGGGGCAACCCUGAUCCAGCAAUGCCGCGUGAGUGGAGAAGGCCUUCGGGUUGUAAAGCUCUUUUGUCAGGGAAGAAACAGCAGCUCUAACACAGUUUGCGAAUGACGGUACCUGAAGAAUAAGCACCGGCUAACUACGUGCCAGCCGCCGCCGUAA
rnacentral:rRNA from 1 species